rnacentral:lncRNA from 1 species
UCUUGCUGUGACCAUGGGUGAGUCGAGACUGGUAGGCUCAGCCUGGUGUUACUUAYGUUUCCUUGGAACCAAAACCCAGUWUCUCUUUGUGUUCUCGCAUGUCUUUAGUGGGACUGAUGAUCCCCGCUGGCGGCCAGGGAGCUCUUAGAGGCUCGGCGUGGCCCAGCCAGCUGCUGUGUUAACACUUCCCUGUCUGCUGCAUCAGGAUACAAUAGUUCCCUAGGGAUCUUAUCCAUUGAGCAUGAAUUAAAGGAGUCCCUGAGCCACUCUAAUCAUGUUCAGUGCAGACGGUUCAUGAAUGUUGAGGCAGUGUAACUAGCUUUAUGAUGGUCCUGCUCUCCUCUUUGUAGGUCUGCUUGAUGCAGGUCUACAGGAGAGAACAGGAUCUACAGGAGAGGUCUGGCAGGAAGGAAACUGAGCUCAGGCYUUUCUAGAGAGCUCAGGUCCUGAAAGGACCUGGCCCAUGUUAGCCUGACUGCCACUGUCUUUCCGGAUGGCUCCUCACCGUUGUCUGUAAAUCCCUAUCUGCCUGGUUUUCUUGUUUGCUUCUUUACGAUUGUUAUAACUCUUAUCUCUGACACCAGCAUGAGUUAAAUACAAGGGCCCGAACAGUCUCAGAGAGCUCUACCAUCUCCCUGGAAGAAGACAUUCAGCCGUGCUUGGAAAGCGUGGCUGAGGAUGUCACCGAAGAGCAGUCAUCGACGGAGGAGGAGAAGCCAGAUGAAGYUGAGAGCUCGGGAUUCAGAUGGUUCGGCUGGUUUCGGUCGAAGCCCCCCAAGAAAGCCUCUCCCAAAGCCACAUCCGACACGCUGGGAUCUCAGGAACGGCCUUCGCCAUCCCCCCCKGCUUCUCCUCUUCCGACGGCGGGGACAAGCCCUUCAGCUCAGCCUCCUGGGGGCCCGUCUCCCSCCGCGCCCAGCCCUUCCUCCAGAAACCCAGGUAAGUGUGGCAAAGACGGCCUCUCCGCCGCUCACCCUCGGCCUUUCAGAAGCUGCUCCCCUGUAUUUCGAGGGUUGCACAGCCCGGAAUGAAUGAAACAUGAUGCCGACAUCCUUGUUGUUACCCCAGUGUCCGUUGAAACGAAAGGCUCGUGGGGCAUGGACGGCGGGGAGCUGGCAGCCUUUCCCGAGGCCGGAGAGCAGGUGAGGGUGGCUUGUGUGUGUGCGSAUGUGUGUGUCUGUGCCUUUUUGUCAUCUUUUCUCAGAGCAAAGCCAUAACCAGCAACGCUCCUCUGUCUCCAUAACGUCUUCAAACCUGUAGGCCUAUUUUUCCAAAUUUGCCAAGGGGACAAAGGCCUUAACGUUGCUCUGUUUGUACGAAAUUCAUGAAUACAGGCGGUGGGUAGAGGAGAGUGACCCUCUUGCCUUAUCUGUGCCUUAUUGUGAACUUAGCGGUGUUAACAGACAGCACAGCAUCCCCACGGCCUAACCCUGGGGGGGGGGGAAAGCACCUCGAUCGCCGUUUGCAGCUCAUUGCCCCUGGGAGGCUCCACGCCAAGGAUGCAGCUCCCGCGUUCGGCUCCUUCUGCCCGGUCAGGGGGAGCACAGGAGACGUCCUCCUGAUCUUGU